rnacentral:rRNA from 1 species
AAUGAACGCUGGCGGCGUGCCUAAUACAUGCAAGUCGAACGGAGUGGCGCACGGGUGUGUAAGGUAUAGCUAAUCUGCGCUACACUAGAGGACAACAGGUGGAAACGGCUGCUAAUACUCUAUAGUGUAGGAUGAGGCUAUAUGGUAUCAUCUAGUUGGUGAGGUAAUGGCGCACCAAGGCUAUGACGCCUAACUGGUCUGAGAGGAAGAUCAGUCACACUGGAAGUGAGGCACGGUCGAGAAUCCUCCGGGAGGGAGCAGAAGGGAAUAUUGCUCAAUGGGGGAAGCCCUGAAGGAGCAACGGCGCGUGGAGGAUGACACUUUUCGGAGAGUAGACUCAUUUUGUUAGGGAAGCGGUACCUAACGAAUAAGCACCGGCUAACUCCGUGCCAGCAGCCGCGGUAAUUC